rnacentral:lncRNA from 1 species
CUGAUGUUCAUAUGAUGAAAUCAUAAUCUUUCAGUCAGUUUAGUUGAAGUCUGGAGCUGGCAUGUCAGUUAACUGCUAGUAGUCUGUUGUUAUUUAUGUAUUAUUGUCAUUUUGUUUAUUUUCUUUGGUUACAUCUUCUGACAUCAGACUCGGAUUUCUCUUGAACUGAAUUUUAAUGUGCGUAUUGUUAUGCGUUUACUUUACUACAUUGGUUAGAGGUAUAGGGGGAGGGUUGAGAUCUCACAAACAUGUUUAACCCCACCGCAUUUUUGCGCCUGUCCCAAGUCAGGAGCCUCUGGCCUUUGUUAGUCUUGUAUUAUUUUAAUUUUAGUUUCUUGUGUACAAUUUGGAAAUUAGUAUGGCGUUCAUUAUCACUGGACUAGUAUAUAUUUGUUUAGGGGCCAGCUGAAGGAC